UCUAGACAAUAAUAACACGGAAUCCUACAGUUUAGUGCGUAGUAGUUCGCCAUUCAAUGCUAAUACAAUUUCAUUACAAUGGUUUUGUCAAAUGAGGAAUUUAACACAGCCGAAAUCUGUGACAUUGACGUAGAGAAAGAACAAAUGUCGUCGCUUUUCCAGCUGAGACAGAGCACGCACAGUUUCCUUAUUCAAUGUUUGGCUGACCGGGAAAUUCAACUGCUAAUUUAUUCCAAGCCAAAUUAUUCAUCGUCUAAAUCAGCUUAUAGUUAUAACUGUGCAGUAAUUCACAAUCCACAUGCUUGGUAACAUCUGAACGCAGUUAGAGGUCCCGGAUGGAACACUAAAAGACACCAACCUUUAGAUCCAAAGUUAAAAAUUGUGCAUGUUCUCGCUAAUCAGUAUUCCAAUAAAAAGCAGAACUUUAAUGAUCAUUUAAAGACUCAACAGGCAAGAGAACAAAUUCGACAACAUGAAGAAACUAUACGUAUUCUUAUGGAAGAAAAUGCUCAAGUAAAACAACUUUAUUUGAAUGCCCUAAAGGACCGCAAUGGAAACACUGGGAACCUUAACACAAAUAAUAACGCAUCUAAUAGUCAACAGUUAAUUCAGCUCCAGCAGGAGACACGAGCUUUAAAAGCUGUUAUCGAGUCCCACAAAGCAACAAUCCAGAUACUUAAAGAUCAGAAUGUCAGUUUACAAUUGAAAGUGAAUGGCUUGCAAACUCAAUCGUCUUCCGAAAACCAAAUAAAUGCAUCUAAUAAUCAGCUUAUUUAUAAGUUGCAACAAGAUAUACGAACGAUGAAAUCGAUGAUGCAGCAAAAGAUAGAGACAAUCCGGACACUUGAGAGCCAAAAUCUUAGUUUGCAAGCGAGACUUCGAGAAGCGGUAAUGCAUCCACCUUCCGGUAGUCUCCCUCCUAGAGCAUCCAGGACGAGAGAUAGUGGUUCUCAAGGUUGCUGUAUUAUUAUGUAAACGCACAAAUAACCGCAAAUAACGCGAGGCAUAUAUUACCGGUAGUCAGAAAUGUCAAAAUUUACAUGCUAUCCCUCAAUUCCUAAUCUUAAAAAAACAAUUAGAAAAUGUGUAACAGGCUAACAACACUACAUUUAAUAAACUAUUAUAACGCAGAGAAAAUUCAAUUACAACAUUUACAGUUCGGUGCUUAGUUUUUAAAUUGAUUCGAAAAGAGAAAACCUUCCUUUAUUGUACCCACUGUGCCACUAGGCAUAUGGGUGAUACGUGACACAAGGAAGAAGUAAAGGCAAUUUCCUCAUCCAAUGUCUGAGUCUGACCGAUCGUGAAAUUCAAAAACCUGAUAGUUUCCCCUGUCGCGUCGUCUAAAGCAGCUUAUCGGUGUAACUGCGCCGUUAUUCACGUUCCCCAAGCCUGGUUGGCUGGUUCCAUACAAGAAAUGCGAUAAAUUUUCGGAUACAUUUUUAUUGAUUCGUGCCGCCCAAAAAAGCCACCAUUUGUCUACUCCUUGCUAGGCCAAAAUUUCUCAUUUCCCGUUCCCUCCACACAACUGUCAAAACUAGAUAACGAGGACGUGCUAUUUGAUAUGUGAACAGAAGAAACUGAAACCAAAAUAUACGAUUACGCGGCCAAUAAUUAUUAGUAACUACGGGUAAAAAUUCCGGGUAUUUUGUCUUUUUCUAGUAAUAAACUAUACUAGUUCAAAA